CUACGGGUGGCACCAGUGGGGAAUUUUGGACAAUGGGCGAAAGCCUGAUCCAGCCAUUCCGCGUGAGUGAUGAAGGCCUUCGGGUUGUAAAGCUCUUUCGGCCGGGAAGAAAUCGUGCAGGCUAAUAUCCUGCAUGGAUGACGGUACCGGAUCAAGAAGCACCGGCUAACUACGUGCCAGCAGCCGCGGUAAUACGUAGGGUGCGAGCGUUAAUCGGAAUUACUGGGCGUAAAGCGUGCGCAGGCGGAUGUUUAAGCCGGAUGUGAAAUCCCCGGGCUUAACCUGGGAAUGGCAUUUGGAACUGGACAUCUAGAGUGUGUCAGAGGGGGGUGGAAUUCCACGUGUAGCAGUGAAAUGCGUAGAGAUGUGGAGGAACACCGAUGGCGAAGGCAGCCCCCUGGGAUAACACUGACGCUCAUGCACGAAAGCGUGGGGAGCAAACAGGAUUAGAUACCCUUGUAGUC
rnacentral:rRNA from 1 species